rnacentral:rRNA from 1 species
ACGGGAGGCAGCAGCUAAGAAUAUUCCGCAAUGCACGAAAGUGUGACGGAGCGACGCCGCGUGGAUGAUGAAGGCCGGAAGGUUGUAAAAUCCUUUUAUAACUGAAGAAUAAGCAUUGUGAGAGAAACGCAGUGUGGUGACGGUAGGUUAUGAAUAAGCAACGGCUAAUUACGUGCCAGCAGCCGCGGUAACACGUAAGUUGCGAGCGUUGUUCGGAAUUAUUGGGCGUAAAGGGCAUGUAGGCGGUUUUGCAAGCUUGGUGUGAAAGGCAGGAGCUUAACUCCUGGACUGCGUUGAGAACUGCAAGACUAGAGUCACUGAGGGGCAAUCAGAAUUCCAGGUGUAGGGGUGAAAUCUGUAGAUAUCUGGAAGAAUACCAAUGGCGAAGGCAGGUUACCAGCAGAUGACUGACGCUGAGGUGCGAAGGUGCGGGGAGCAAACAGGAUUAGAUACCCUGGUA